AUGAACGCUGGCGGCGUGCCUAAUACAUGCCAGUCGCGCGAACAGACGAGGAGCUUGCUCCUCUGACGUUAGCGGCGGACGGGUGAGUAACACGUGGAUAACCUACCUAUAAGACUGGGAUAACUUCGGGAAACCGGAGCUAAUACCGGAUAAUAUAUUGAACCGCAUGGUUCAAUAGUGAAAGACGGUUUUGCUGUCACUUAUAGAUGGAUCCGCGCCGCAUUAGCUAGUUGGUAAGGUAACGGCUUACCAAGGCGACGAUGCGUAGCCGACCUGAGAGGGUGAUCGGCCACACUGGAACUGAGACACGGUCCAGACUCCUACGGGAGGCAGCAGUAGGGAAUCUUCCGCAAAGGGCGAAAGCCUGACGGAGCAACGCCGCGUGAGUGAUGAAGGUCUUCGGAUCGUAAAACUCUGUUAUUAGGGAAGAACAAAUGUGUAAGUAACUAUGCACGUCUUGACGGUACCUAAUCAGAAAGCCACGGCUAACUACGUG
rnacentral:rRNA from 1 species